ACUCCCAACCCCUGUGACAUACCUUAAUGUUGCCUCGGCGGAUCAGCCCGCGCCCCGUAAAACGGGACGGCCCGCCAGAGGACCCAAACUCUAAUGUUUCUUAUUGUAACUUCUGAGUAAAACAAACAAAUAAAUCAAAACUUUCAACAACGGAUCUCUUGGUUCUGGCAUCGAUGAAGAACGCAGCAAAAUGCGAUAAGUAAUGUGAAUUGCAGAAUUCAGUGAAUCAUCGAAUCUUUGAACGCACAUUGCGCCCGCUGGUAUUCCGGCGGGCAUGCCUGUUCGAGCGUCAUUUCAACCCUCAAGCCCCCGGGUUUGGUGUUGGGGAUCGGCUCUGCCUUCUGGCGGCGCCGCCCCCGAAAUACAUUGGCGGUCUCGCUGCAGCCUCCAUUGCGUAGUAGCUAACACCUCGCAACUGGAACGCGGCGCGGCCAUGCCGUAAAACCCCAACUUCUGAAUGUUGACCUCGGAUCAGGUAGGAAUACCCGCUGAACUUAAGCAUAUCAAUAAGCGGAGGAA
rnacentral:rRNA from 1 species